rnacentral:rRNA from 1 species
UCGCCGGUGAACUAUGAGUUCGAGGUGCACGCCAUGAGCGCCGAGAAGCUGCCCUUCAUACUCCCCGCGGUCUUCACCAUCGGCCCCAAGAUCACAGCUGCCGGGGGCGAGGAGUCGGACAGGAAGGACCUUGAGGCGCAGCUCCUCCUGUACGCCAAGCUCAUCGCGCCGCUGCACAGCUCGAGGAGCCACGUCCCGGAGCUCGUCAAGGGGAUCAUCGAGGGCGAGACCCGCGUGCUCGCCGCGGAGCUCACCAUGGAGGAGAUCUUCAAGGGCACCAAGACCUUCAAGGAGAAGGUGUUCAACCGGGUGCAGCUGGAGCUCAACCAGUUCGGCCUCAUCAUCUACAACGCCAACGUGAAGCAGCUGGUGGACGUGCCGGGGCACGAGUACUUCUCCUACCUCGGCCAGAAGACGCAGCAGGACGCGGCGAACCAGGCCAAGGUGGACGUGGCGGAGGCCCGGAUGAAGGGAGAGGUGGGAGCCAAGGAGAGGGAGGGGCUGACGCGGCAGAACGCGGCAAAGGUGGACGCCGAGACCAAGGUGCUGUCGGUGCGGCAGCAGGGCCAGGGGCUCAAGGAGGAGGCCAAGGUCAAGGCCGAGGUGCAGGUGUUCGAGAAUGAAAGGGCGGCGGAGAUCGCCGCGGCCAAGGCCGAGCUUGCCAUGAAAAAGGCCGGGUGGGACAAGCAGGCCAAGGUGGCCGAGGUCGAGGCGGCCAAGGCCGUCGCCAUCCGCGAGGCCGAGCUCCAGAUGGAGGUCGAGCGCAAGAACGCCAUGCGCCAGACCGAGAAGCUCAAGGCCGAGCAGCUCAGCAAGGCAACCGUGCACUACGAUACACAGGUUCAAGAAUCAAAUGCGCAACUCUAUAGCAGGCAGAAGGCGGCGGAGGCAAAGCUGUUUGAGCAGAUGAGGGUGGCGGAGGCGCGCAAGGCGCAGGCCGACGCGCACUUCUUCGAGCAGAAGAUGGCCGAGGACGCCAAGCUCUACGCCAAGCAGAAGGAGGCAGAGUCCGUGGGCUUGGUGGGCAAGGCCAAGACGGAGUACGUGGCGUCCAUGCUCCAGGCGCUCGGUGGCAACUACCACGCGCUCAGGGACUACCUCAUGAUCGACGGCGGCGUGUACGCCGAGAUGGCGCGCAUCAACGCCGGCGCGGUCAACGGCAUGCAGCCCAAGAUCAGCAUCUGGAGCAACGGCGGUGGCGCGGACGGUGCCGGGAACGCGGCCGGAGAGGCCGCAGCUGGCAGCGCGCUGCAGCAGGUGGCCGGGGUGUACAAGAUGCUGCCGCCGCUUCUGUCCACGGUGCACGAGCAGACCGGGACGCUGCCGCCGGCGUGGAUGGGUGCACUGCCCAAGGACGAUGCUGCUACCAACUGA